GACGAACGCUGGCGGCGUGCUUAACACAUGCAAGUCGAACGGUGAAGCUCCAGCUUGCUGGAGUGGAUCAGUGGCGAACGGGUGAGUAACACGUGAGCAACCUGCCCCUGACUCUGGUAUAAGCUCUGGAAACGGCGUCUAAUACUGUAUACGAUAAGUUUCCGCAUGGGCACUUUCUGUAAAGUUUUUCGGUUGGGGAUGGGCUCGCGGCCUAUCAGCUUGUUUGUGAGGUAAUGGCUCACCAAGGCGACGACGGGUAGCCGGCCUGAGAGGGCGACCGGCCACAAUGGGACUGAGACACGGCCCAGACUCCUACGGGAGGCAGCAGUGGGGAAUAUUGCACAAUGGGCGAAAGCCUGAUGCAGCGACGCCGCGUGAGGGAUGACGGCCUUCGGGUUGUAAACCUCUUUCAGCAGGGAAGAAGCGAAAGUGACGGUACCUGCAGAAGAAGCACCGGCUAACUACGUG
rnacentral:rRNA from 1 species